rnacentral:other from 1 species
UUAAGGCUGCUUGGUACGUUAGGGUGGAUAUUAAAUUCCUCUGGACUAUAAGCUUUUUUUCGGGGGCGGUCCCUUACAUCGCCGUGGCGUUGUUAUUCAUUGCUCCCACCUAUACAUACCGGUUCCGAUGGUGAACUUUACCCGACGGCUAAAGUGGUCUUAAA